rnacentral:rRNA from 1 species
UGGGGAAUAUUGCACAAUGGGCGCAAGCCUGAUGCAGCCAUGCCGCGUGUGUGAAGAAGGCCUUCGGGUUGUAAAGCACUUUCAGCGGGGAGGAAGGCGUUAAGGUUAAUAACCUUGGCGAUUGACGUUACCCGCAGAAGAAGCACCGGCUAACUCCGUGCCAGCAGCCGCGGUAAUACGGAGGGUGCAAGCGUUAAUCGGAAUUACUGGGCGUAAAGCGCACGCAGGCGGUCUGUCAAGUCGCAUGUGAAAUCCCCGGGCUCAACCUGGGAACUGCAUUCGAAACUGGCAGGCUAGAGUCUUGUAGAGGGGGGUAGAAUUCCAGGUGUAGCGGUGAAAUGCGUAGAGAUCUGGAGGAAUACCGGUGGCGAAGGCGGCCCCCUGGACAAAGACUGACGCUCAGGUGCGAAAGCGUGGGGAGCAAACAGG